rnacentral:rRNA from 1 species
UACAGGGGGUGCAAACGUUGCUCGGAAUUAUUGGGCGUAAAGCGCGCGUAGGCGGCCGCUUAAGUCGGAUGUGAAAGCCCCUGGCUCAACUGGGGAAGUGCACCCGAAACUGAGUGGCUUGAGUACUAAAGAGGGUCGCGGAAUUCCCGGUGUAGAGGUGAAAUUCGUAGAUAUCAGGAGGAACACCAAUGGCGAAGGCAGCUCGCUGGAACGGUACUGACGCUGAGGCGCGAAAGCGUGGGGAGCGAACAGG